GGAAUUGUUCGCAAUGGGCGCAAGCCUGACGACGCAACGCCGCGUGGAGGACGAAGAUCUUCGGGUCGUAAACUCCUUUCGAUCGAGACGAAUGACCUUCGGGUGAACAAUCCGGAGGAAUGACGGUACCGAGAGAAGAAGCCCCGGCUAACCCCGUGCCAGCAGCCGCGGUAAUACGGGGGGGGCAAGCGUUGUUCGGAAUUACUGGGCGUAAAGGGCUCGUAGGCGGCCAACUAAGUCACACGUGAAAUCCCUCGGCUCAACCGGGGAACUGCGUGUGAUACUGGAUGGCUUGAGUCCGGGAGAGGGAUGCGGAAUUCCAGGUGUAGCGGUGAAAUGCGUAGAUAUCUGGAGGAACACCGGUGGCGAAGGCGGCAUCCUGGACCGGCACUGACGCUGAGGAGCGAAAGCCAGGGGAGCAAAC
rnacentral:rRNA from 1 species